rnacentral:misc_RNA from 1 species
GAUGAAGAACGCAGCGAAAUGCGAUACGUAGUGUGAAUUGCAGAAUUCAGUGAAUCAUCGAAUCUUUGAACGCACAUUGCACCUCUCGGUAUUCCGGGAGGUAUGCCUGUUCGAGCGUCAUUUGUACCCUCAAGCUCUGCUUGGUGUUGGGUGUUUGUCUCGCCUCUGCGCGUAGACUCGCCUCAAAACAAUUGGCAGCCGGCGUAUUGAUUUCGGAGCGCAGUACAUCUCGCGCUUUGCACUCAUAACGACGACGUCCAAAAGUACAUUUUUACACUCUUGACCUCGGAUCAGGUAGGGAUACCCGCUGAACUUAAGCAUAUCAAUAAGCGGAGGA